rnacentral:ncRNA from 1 species
AUAGACUUAGUCCUAACCUUACAGUUAAUUCUUGCCAAACAUAUACAUGCAAGUAUCCGCGCUCCAGUGUAAAUGCCCCCACCUCCUGCUUGUCCCAAAGCAGGAAAGAGGAGCAGGCAUCAGGCACACCAGACGUAGCCCAAGACGCCUUGCUCAGCCACACCCCCACGGGUAUUCAGCAGUAAUUAACAUUAAGCAAUAAGUGUAAACUUGACUUAGUUAUGGCAACCCACAGGGUUGGUAAAUCUUGUGCCAGCCACCGCGGUCAUACAAGAAACCCAAAUUAACUGUCCUCGGCGUAAAGAGUGGUAGUCUACUAUCAUUCAACUAAGAUCAAAAUACAACUAAGCUGUCAUAAGCCCACGAUGUACCUAAGACCAACAUCAAAACGAUCCUAGCAACAAUGACAUAUUAAACACCACGAAAGCCAAGACACAAACUGGGAUUAGAUACCCCACUAUGCUUGGCCCUAAAUCCAGAUAUUUUCCCCACCAAAGUAUCCGCCUGAGAACUACGAGCACAAACGCUUAAAACUCUAAGGACUUGGCGGUGCUCCAAAUCCACCUAGAGGAGCCUGUUCUAUAAUCGAUAACCCACGAUACACCCAACCCCCUCUUGCCCAAAGCAGCCUACAUACCGCCGUCCCCAGCUCACCUCACCUGAUAGCCCUAAUAGUGAGCAUAACACCCCCCCCCCGCUAGCAAGACAGGUCAAGGUAUAGCCUAUGAGGGGGAAGAAAUGGGCUACAUUUUCUAAAAUAGAAAACUCAACGAAAAGGGGCCUGAAACACCCCCUGGAAGGAGGAUUUAGCAGUAAAGGGGAAGGUAAGAAUACCCCCUUAAACUUGGCCCUGGAGCACGUACAUACCGCCCGUCACCCUCUUCACAGCCCAACUACAUCAGUAAUUAACACACACACCGGGCUAAAGAUGAGGUAAGUCGUAACAAGGUAAGUGUACCGGAAGGUGCACUUAGCAC